rnacentral:lncRNA from 1 species
GGGCAGGGACCGAACCCGCAACCUCAUGGUUCCUAGUCGGAUUCGUUAACCACUGUGCCACAACGGGAACUCCUGGAAGGUACUAUUCUUAGCGGAAUUAGUCAGAGAAAGAAAUACUAUAUGUUCUCACUUAUAUGUAGGAUCUAAAAAAUAAAAUGAGUCAAUAUGACAAAACAGAAACAGACUCACUGAUACAGAGAACUAGUGGUUACCAGUAGGGGAGAGGGACGAAGGAAGGGUCAGGACAGAGGUAGAGGAUUAAGAGGUACAAAUUACUAUGUGUAAAAUAAAUAAGCUACAAGGAUGUGUUACACAGCACAAGGAAUAUAGCCAAUAUUUUAUAAUAACUUGAAAUGGAGUAUAAGGUAUAAAAUACUCGAAUCACUGUUUCGCAUAUCUGAAAUCAACAUGUUACAAAUCAACUAUACCUCAAUAAAAAUAUCAUUAAAAAAUACACAAACCUGGAAUUUCCAUUGUGGUUCAGCGGGUUAAGAACCUGACAUAGCAUCUGUGAGGAUGUGGGUUCCAUCCCUGGCCUCACUCACUGGGUUAAGGAUCCAGCAUUGCUGUGUGAUGUGGCGUGGGUCACAGACUCAGCUCAGAUCUUGUGUUGCUGUGGCUGUGGCGCAGGCCGGCUGCUGCAGCUCUGAUUCAGCCUCUGGGGCCUGGCAACUUCCAUAUGCUGCAGAUGCGGUCCUAAAAAGGAAAAAAAAAUAUACACAAACCUAAGUAAGUAUAGAAGAACUGUAAACACUUAAAUAUUAAAAUCAUUUGUUUAUAAGUUGGUAGAAGUUACGGUUCUGAAAUUAUUAAAACUUAAAAUUUCAUAGAGGGGGGAGAAAAGGCUGCUGACCUCAGGACUGUGUUGGGUGUUCACAGGUCAAUUGACACAAGGCACAUGGAACAGUACCUGGUACAUAGCAAGUGCUUGGGGCAUUUGAGCUAUUAAUACUGGCAAGCCCCGGGCCUCAAUUUCCUCAUCUGCAAGAUGGGGCCACCGUGCUCUCCUCUUAGGGACGGACUCCGUGGGAUCAGCAGGCACAGCCUUUUAACACAGGGGCUCACACAUGGCCACGUGCCCGAGUGGCAUUAGCAGACUCUGACCUUGGGACCCAGAUGUUAAAAUGGUUUUCUUUCCUACCCAAGUUUAGCUGAGACGUGGAAAACAACACAGGCAGUGUCACUCCCUAUUGCCAGCUGCCUCCCAGGUCACUGUGCUGGACGUGCUGAGGUCACAAGGGGCGCUCUGGUCAGCGUGUGUCCAAUCCCACUCGGGUGUAAACCGGGCAGAAGAAAGGCUGCUCUAGAGAGAGCUGUUGGUGGACGGCGGGUUCCUCGGGGUGGGGUGGGGGGCCUCACCCCAGCACCCCUCCUCAUGGUGGCCGCCCUGCAGCCAUGCCAGCCCCUCUCUGAGGGCGUUGCCUUGUGCUUACCGGGUGCUUGAGGCUCAGGGAAUGUUCACCGCUGUUCUGAGCUCAGAUGUGCGUGGUCCUCAGGUCAGCAUCCUGGCUGUGCUGCCAGCCUCCUCGGCAUGUGGACAACGUCCUUAGUGGAGAACUGUGCGUGGUAUCUUGUUUAUGUAAAAAAACCUUUUUAUUAUGGCUGAUUUCCAUUGUUCUGUCCAUUUCUGCUGUGCAGCACAGUGACCAAGCCAAACAUCUGCACGCACGCUCUUCCUCACAGUCUGUCAUCACGUCCCAUCACGAGUGACUGGACAUAGUCCCCCGUGCGGUAUAGCGCGACCUCAUUCUCUAACCAUCCUACAUGCAACAGUUUGCAUCUAUAAACCCCGACACCCAGUCCCUCCCCAGCCCUCUUGUCUUGUUUAUUAUUAAUUGUGGCAACACACACAUACAAUUUACCCCCUUGACCGUUUUUUAGGCGUACAGUUCCGCGCCAUUAACACCACACGGCAUCCACGUCGUGCAACCGUCACUGCCACCUAUCUCUGGAACUUUCUCAUCUUGCACAACAGAAACUCCAUAUGCGUGAAACCACAAUUCCCCAUUCCCCUCUCCGCAGGCCCCUGCCCACCCCCAGCAACAACCAUUCUUACUUUCGGUCUCUAUGCCUCGGACUAGUCCAGGGAACCUCAUACAAGUGGCAUCAUACAGUGUUUGUCUUUUUCUGGGUCUGGCUUAUUAUACUUUGCAUCCUGAACUCAAGGCGCAUCCAUGUGGCACAGGUGGCAGCAUUUCCUUCCUUUUGAAGGCAUUUCUCCCCAUUCUUUCCUGGUCCUUCCACCCAGAGGUGUCCCAGAAUUACAGCCCCGUCAGGGCUGCCCACAGCGUCAUCCACACACAGGGAAAUCCUGCAAGGAGGUCGCGUGUGGUCCAUUUUGGAGGAUUUCUCUUCAACUGCCUAAAAUAGUACGAUUCCAAGUGCUUAAAGAGAGAAAGGUUUUUCAUCUGGACAAGGCCGUUUUCCAGGAAAUGAAGUAUUUCCACGCACGAAGAAGGUAAGAGUAUGAGGAGCUUUCUCAAGUGUCAGAGUGAACCUGGACUUCAAAGUGACCUUCGAGAAGGUCCUUUACUAUGUCUUCAGGGGCAAGUGUUUACAGGUAUAACCUUGGGCUUUUCUGAUUCCUUUAAUCUGGGUUUGGCCCAUCACAAGAUGCGGUGGGGACAAGAGGGGGACUCAGAGGCUGUGGCCAGGGUGCUUCCACUUGGCCACUGGCUGAUGUCCUCAUCGUGGGUUAGUGGCAGGGGCACAUGCCCUGAUUUUCAGUGAUCACUUGGUUUUGACUGCGGAUCUGGCUGUGAGCAAUGGAAAAUGAGCUCCCACUGGAACCUCUUCUGGUGCCUCUGAUCACGGAGGACCUCUCACUGCGGGGCCUCCGAGAAUAAGACUGGCAAGCUGGCCAGGUGGAUUGGGUGAUCAACACAGCACUUAGGAUGUUGUUAUGUGCAAAGUGAAGGGAUUUUCCUGUAAACAGCCUGACAUUUCCUGUAAAAACGAAGGAAGGGGAGGCUAGCUUGGCUUCCGAAGCUGUCCUCCUGACUCACAGCUCUGCGCCACAGGAAGUCUGCCACAUGGGCACGUUCCCUCACCCCCUGAUGGGGAUGGAGGAGGAGAAUCCAACUCCCCCAACCCCCUGACAUGAAGCCGAUGAUCCUACAGGAACUACGGGUGUGAGAAACGUUCGCAGGGUUGGCGGAAUUGAUGGUCCUGAUGGCCAAGGAACCCAGAGAGGCCUGAGUCCUGGCCACAAUCCAUCUUCCUUCCCUGGGGAUCUGAGGGAGACGGACGUCCUAGGAAGAAGCGCCUUCUUUGUUAACUGGACAGGGGUCCUGAAAAUCCGGCCUGAGGAUCCAGAAAGCUGGGUCCUACAGAGAGUCCCUUUGGGCACCAGUUUCACCCCACCUCACCCUCUCCACCGCCAAGGCCCAGCCACACGGCACAUCACUGUGGCUGCCUGGAGGGCAGGGAGAAGAAGGAAGACAAAGGUGCCCACUCUUACCCCUUCUCUUCAACCUUGUGCACAGAGCAAAAAAAUAAAAAAUAAAAUGUGUAAAAAUUUGUUAAUGAAAAAACUGUUUGCAGUGAAAUGAUAAACAUUUGCGGUGUUAAAAAAAAAACACACAUACACCAACAGAAUAAGCAAAUUUAGCACCAUUACAGAUCACAUGGUCAAUUAAUAUAAAUCGCUUAUAUUUCUAUAUACCAUCAGUUGUUCCGGCACCACUUGCUGAAGACUCUCCUUUCUUCACUGAAUUGCCUCUUCGCCUUUGUCAAAAAUCAAUUAAUCGUAUGUGUGUGCAUCUAUUUCUGGACUUUCCAGUCUAUACAGUUGAUCUAUUUGCUUGACACCAGUAUCACGUGGUUUUAAAUACUAUAGUUUACAAGAAGUUCUGAGAUCAAACAGCUUCGGUUCUCCUUUUUGUCUUUUUUGCCUUUUCUAGGGCUGCGCCUGCGGCAGAUGGAGGUUCCUAGGCUAGGGAUCAAAUCGGAGCUGUAGACACCAGCCUAUGCCAGAGAAGUUCAUUAAAUUCAGUCAACGAUAUUUUGUAGUUUUCAGUGUACAGGUCUUGUACAUCUUAUCAGAUUUAUACUUAAGUAACAUAUAUCUGAUGAUAUUGUAAAUGGUAUUUGCUUUUUUUUUUUUUUUGUCUUUUUGCCAUUUCUAGGGCCACGACAGUGGCAUAUGGAGGUUCCCAGGCUAGGGGUGGAAUCGGAGCUGUAGCCACCGGCCUACAGCAGAGCCACAGCAACGCGGGAUCCAAGCUGCGUCUGCGACCUACACCACAGCUCACGGCAACGCCGGAUCCUUAACCCACCGAGCGGGUCAGGGAUGGAAGCCGCAUCCUCAUGAAUACUAGGCAGGUUCAAAACCUGCUGAGCCACCACGUGAACUCCCUAUAUUUCAAUUUUUGAUUAUACAUUGCUUACUAUGUGGAAAAAUUGAUAUUUGUAUAUUGAUCUUAUAUCCUGCAACCUUGCUAAAGUCACUUACUAGUUUUACAGAUUUUACAGAUUUCAUAGAAUUCUCUAUGUAGACGACGUUAUCGGCAAAAUCGAAGCUUAACUUCUUCCUUUCUAAUCUGGAUUCCUUAAUUUUUGCCUCAGUGCACUGGCUACAUCU